rnacentral:rRNA from 1 species
GACGAACGCUGGCGGCGUGCCUAAUACAUGCAAGUAGAACGCACAGUUUAUACCGUAGCUUGCUACACCAUAGACUGUGAGUUGCGAACGGGUGAGUAACGCGUAGGUAACCUGCCUGGUAGCGGGGGAUAACUAUUGGAAACGAUAGCUAAUACCGCAUAAUAUUAAUUAUUGCAUGAUAAUUAAUUGAAAGGUGCAAUUGCACCACUACCAGAUGGACCUGCGUUGUAUUAGCUAGUAGGUGAGGUAACGGCUCACCUAGGCGACGAUACAUAGCCGACCGGAGAGGGUGAUCGGCCAACCUGGGACUGAGACACGGCCCAGACUCCUACGGGAGGCAGCAGUAGGGAAUCUUCGGCAAUGGACGAAAGUCUGACCGAGCAACGCCGCGGGAGUGAAGAAGGUUUUCGGAUCGUAAAGCUCUGUUGUAAGAGAAGAACGGGUGUGAGAGUGGAAAGUUCACACUGUGACGGUAGCUUACCAGAAAGGGACGGCUAACUACGUG